UGCAUUUAGUUUCAUUUGAAGGAGACUCCCUCGAUGACUACAAAGAGAAGCAUCUGUCAUUCCAUGUAAGAAUAAGUGCUUUACUUUGGGACUGCCUUGCUGGUGUUUGUUCAUCAGUGGGUUUGCCCCUUGCCUUGAUUACAACAGAAUCCAAAUUUAAACGCUAGAAGGUGCUGUUUUUUUCAAAGUUUUGGCAUGGUAAUCAUUGAUUUUGUGCAUGGUGUGUUUCUAUGCUUUAACAAGGACUGUCAUAAUGUUCUUCUUUCAGAAAACAUUAUAAUAGUUGAAUUUGCAUGAAAUGCUUUAAAUGUGUGAAAAGUCCACCCAUGCUCAAGAAUGCUGAGGCAUUCCAAAGAUAUUAACCCCUUACUAGUAACCCCCCUUUUUUGGCAUGGAGACCGAAAUUACAUACCCAAAAUAAAAAGGUUUCUGCUCAUGAUUCUUUCUGACCAGAUACAUAAUCAACCUUUGUUCACAAAGCUGACACUUUAAAGUUUACUGUUCAGGAAUCAGAAUCACUCAGACUGUUAUGAUAAUAGAGAUAUAUAAGCUCAAACAUAAAAACAAAAAUAAAAAUAUUAAAAACAUAUGUUUUAAAUGUAUUUAAAAAAAUGUUGAUGUAGGAAAUGAGUUUGAAAACACAGUGUAGCUAAGGCCACAAGUCUUCCAAGACUUCAUAAAAAAUUUCAUAAUCGAAUCUGUAAAACUGUGAAUUUUAUGAAAUAUUUUCUAAGGCCAUGUCAUGUGUGUUUUUAGAGAAGGCUAAUCAGAUUGAUUUAUGGCCCUUGUCAUCUCUGUAAGAUCUCACAUGUAAACACUGAUGUGUGUUUUAUAUGUGUGUUUGGCUGUGAAAACUGCCCGUUUCAUGAUUGUAUUGUUCUCACCAAACGGUUCUUUCACACCUCCGCCAAGUAUGACACAUUAUCCGCAUUAUUCUUUUAUCAUUAUUCUUUUGUUUUUAUUCCACCUUUAUUAGCCUUGAUUGUGGUUUUUCAGGCUUUACAAAGCAACAAAGCAGCGAUCUCACUUCAGUCUCUCUUUGCAUUUAGCCCUUAUUUAUCAAAAGUCUUACUAUAAAAAUACAACAAAACAUUUUCUUACGACCUUACGUGAAUUAUUGAGACAAAAAUGCAUUAUGAAGAAGAAAAGCACCUGCUAUUAGUAGCAUUGGUGCUAACGUUAGCAUCAAGCUACAUCUGACAAUUUAUGAAAUUAUUAGUACACUUUUACUCAAAACUCACUUUAAACCCCGAUCGAGUGUUUAUAAUAACUUCCUUUAGCGAUCAGGGGUGGAAUUUGGUCGUUUACUGUUGUAAAAAUAUGUUUUUUGUAGCCUUUUUCAUCGCUGCACAAGUUAGCAUUUCCGAUGUACAUUUUCGAUUUUUUUUAUAAAAACGCCCCAGAUCUCAAGAAAUUCUCAUACCAAGCUUUACUAUCGUAAUCGCGGGUUUAUUAUUCGGAUAUUUUGUGUGUACAGAGGUGUUUCAGUGUUGUUUUGGCCAGAUAACUACCAGGAAGUGUGCAGGAAGCAUGUGACACGAUGGGGCGGUGUCCAGAUAUGAAACUCUAAGAUUGACGUUUGAAAGACCCAAUCAGAGUCUGAGUCACACACCGCACGAGCUGUGACUACUGCACGCACACACAGAUCGCUGGGAGAGGCUGUUUAUCAUCUGAUCGCGUAAAUCCGUGGAAAAUGAAUAGAAAUGACGAUUCUGUCUGAAGAAAUAUGAAGUAAACAUCAGUAAAUAUAUCCAUAUAUCUCCGCAGAUAUGCAUCUUUGGUCUGUAAAUCCUUAUUGACGCUGUUCAGUGAGUCUAUGUGAACACAAAUAAACCGCUCUUGACGUGA